rnacentral:rRNA from 1 species
AGCGGCGGACGGGUGAGUAAUGCCUGGGAAUAUGCCCUGAUGUGGGGGAUAACUAUUGGAAACGAUAGCUAAUACCGCAUAAUCUCUUCGGAGCAAAGAGGGGGACCUUCGGGCCUCUCGCGUCAGGAUUAGCCCAGGUGGGAUUAGCUUGUUGGUGAGGUAAUGGCUCACCAAGGCUACGAUCCCUAGCUGGUCUGAGAGGAUGGUCAGCCACACUGGAACUGAGACACGGUCCAGACUCCUACGGGAGGCAGCAGUGGGGAAUAUUGCACAAUGGGGGAAACCCUGAUGCAGCCAUGCCGCGUGUGUGAAGAAGGCCUUCGGGUUGUAAAGCACUUUCAGUAGGGAGGAAGGUAGUGUAGUUAACACCUGCAUUAUUUGACGUUACCUACAGAAGAAGCACCGGCUAACUCCGUGCCAGCAGCCGCGGUAAUACGGAGGGUGCGAGCGUUAAUCGGAAUUACUGGGCGUAAAGCGCAUGCAGGCGGCCUGUUAAGUCAGAUGUGAAAGCCCGGGGCUUAACCUCGGAAUUGCAUUUGAAACUGGCAGG